rnacentral:piRNA from 1 species
AUGCACUUUGAGAGGGCCUGG